rnacentral:rRNA from 1 species
CCAGCUACCGCGGUCACACGAUUAGCCCUAGCUAAUAGAGAUCGGCGUAGAGGGUGUUUAAGAUCUAACACAAUAAAGCUAAACUCCAUCUAAACUGUAAAACCCUAGCUAAUGUAAAAUAAACUACGAAAGUGGCUUUAAAACUUCUGAACACACAAUAGCCAAGACCCAAACUGGGAUUAGACACCCUACUAUGCUUGGCCCUAAACCUCAGUAGUUAAAUAACAAAACUACUCGCCAGAACACUACAAGCAACAGCUUAAAACUCAAAGGACUUGACGGUGCUUUACACCCCCUAGAGGAGCCUGUUCCGUAAUCGAUAAACCCCGAUCCACCCCACCCUCUCUUGCUCAGCCUAUAUACCGCCAUCUUCAGCAAACCCUGAUAAAGGCCACAAAGUGAGCGCAAACGCCACCACCGCGAAGACGUUAGGUC